AGUAGAACGUGGCAUUCAAACCUCCACGUUGUGCAGAAAAAAACAAACUGGAGAAGAUGGAGUUCAGAACGUGGAAUAGACACAGUUAUCGGAAGAGAGUUUACCUUUUUAUUCCAAGUUUACAGUUAUCGGAAGACAGUUUACCUUUUUAGUUUCUUUACUGCAAAAUUUGCGAUGGUUUUACGAGGUAGAACGAGGACGAUGCAAUUCAAUCUCCAUCCACCUUUUUACAGGUACGCCAAGUUUCUUCAAUUUCCGAAUUUUAUCUCUACAUUUUAGUCUAAAAUAUCAGACGAUAAUUCAUGGGUAUUAUCGUAAACGUUCCGGAAUCUAUUGCUUAAUUUAUAUUUUUCUUAUGGAAUGUAAUGUGAUUUUGUUCACAUUUUAUAUAAUUGAUCGCUGGACAUUUGAAGACGAACAUGGAGGAAAAGUUGGAUAAUUAUCCUCCUAAACUGAGCAGUUAUAAUUAUAACACGUUGAAAAAAAAAUGGAGCUCAAAUUUGAAACUGCAAUUGGUUUUAUUCCUUUUCCACAAAAACUAAAUCGUCUUCACUCUUAGGUAUGUUACUUUGAUGUUCGAUUUAUUUUUAAUUUCCAUUUUUAUCAUUAACUCCAUAUUUGAUCAAAUAUAUAGGCUGAUUGGUGAAUCCCCAGUGAUCGAUGCGUUUUCAAUAUAUGAGUUGGUGGUUUUGUUCUUUUGGGAAAAAUAUGGAAGAAGGAAGAGAAAUAGCGGAAGAAGAGGGAACAAAAAUAGUUUUGAGUCAUCCUGUUCUGUAUUAGCUGUAUUUUUUUUAUAGACAAUUGGUGGACGAUGUUUUGACGGGACGGCAGUCGUCAGAGCCGUCAGGUGUGUCGAAGUGGUUGGAUGUGUUUGAUGUGAAAGAACUGGCGUGCUUUGAGGGGCUACGUGAAGGGUAUAUUUCUAUUUUCUUUUUCUUCCAUGUUUUACUUAUUUAUUGGUGAUCAAAUGAUACUUUGUUCUUCUUCCAUUUUGGAAGAAAAAUGUUACAAUUGCUCUAUUCUGUAAUGGUUUUAAGGCUUUAUAGAUGUCCUUAAUUGUUUAUAUCAUGUUUAGUUUAUCGUAAUACUGUAAUCUACGAUCAAACCUAUAUAUGUAGUAUGAACGCUAUAUCAUAGAAGGGAUUUUUAUUUUCUUACUUUGUAUCCAGAGGAAACAAAGAAAAACCAUGGGAAGACAUCUACAGUCGGUCCAAGAAUAAUGAUUAUAGAAUUUGGGUUCAACUUCUUAUUUCCUUAUAUUCAGUUGGAUUCCCUCUUCGUUGGGGUUGAUUAUAGAAUUUGGGUUUGUUCAUUUGGUGUUUCAAGUAUUCGUAAGAGUGUUUGCUUAUUUUUUAGGGUGAUAUCCUUAUUGCUUUGCUCUUUACUUGGACCAAAAUAAAGAAACAGACUUGAAACCCUUGCUUUCUGUAAGUUUUUUUAGGAAAGGGGAAAAGUACGGGUAGCACUACUUCUCCUUCUAUUUGAAUAGGAGUGAGGAGGCAAGAAUGCAUAUACACUACAAAAAAAAAAAAUGUCUAACACAAUUCAUUGGUGCCCUUUUCAAUUUCAUUGAGCACAGAUAUGAAUUUGUGCUUUUAUGUUUCAUUGAGCACAAAAUUAUCUCGAAUUGUUGAAGUAAACAUGUUCUUUAUCUGAAUAUGCUUUGUCUGUUGUUACUUCAUGUUUCGAUCAAUUUUUCUUUGCAUAAAUAAGAUGCCAUGCAAGCAAGUAAAGCUUUCUGGGUUUAUGUCUACUGAGUGCCAAACCAUGAAAUGGUUGUCAGAUUGAGGUUUAAGAGUUGCUUGGCUAUUAAUUAGUGUAAGAUUCGGAGGAAUGUAGUCUAUCAUACUCAAGAGUGCAGGUACGCAUAAUUUUAUAUGUAAUUGAUUCUUCUUCUCUAAUAAUCUUCCCCUAUUUCCUUUUGUUCUGUAUAUAAUGGAUCGUCUUAAAUUUACAGGUUCAUGGUUCAUUCAGGCUGCAAAGGAUUUGAUUACUUUCUUUUUAGGAAUAUGAAUUGGAACAACUUCAAAAUUCGGGUGUAAUUAUUUGUCUUAUCAAGUAAAUAACUGUAUCUUAUGAUCUGUUUGUUUUUUUCAUGCAUGGGAUUGUAUUUUUGAUUGGAAGGUUAUAAAAAUGAACACCAUUUACAGUGCUCCAAAA